GGCUUCUGAGACAGGCUGAGUGAUGCCUUGAAGUAAAAGCUUCAAUACAGAUGCUGGCAUAUUCAGAUUUCUGAUGUCUUGGGACUUCUUUCCCCUUGCAACCACUAUCGAUUUUGUGGUUAGGAGACUGCCCCUUCCUUCUCCAGGUCGUUGGAUGACUAAUGUGAGCAGCUAGUGAUCCAGAACAGAUCUGUGGGUAACUCAAACAACCUGACUAACCUGGGGCCUAACAGCCCAGUCACAGAGUGCUCAAAUAACUCCCAAAAAACAAGGUGCUCAAAGAUCGCAGCCAGGAAGGUCACUCAGCCACUUUUAGAAAAAGUCGAGAGCAAGAUUGAAUACAUGUUACAACAAAGGGUCAUCUUUCGGAAUAAGACCGGUUUAUUACAUCUCAAGAUCUGUCACAGACACAGAGAAAACCAUUGAGAAAGAAACGUUAGCAGCCACAUGGGCAUGCAAGAAGUCCCCUGAUUAUGUCGUAAGAUUAAGGUUUAAAAUUGAAACCAAUUAGAAGCCUUUUGUUAUGCUCCUUAACUGAAAAAGUUUGCAAACACUCUGCCUUGAAUUCAAGUUUUAGACUGAGACUAAUGAGAUACGAUUCCAUUACUAAGUACGUUCCAGGGAAGCACCAGACGACAGCAGAUGCAUUAUCAAGAAUACAAGUGGAAGGAGUCAAACUGAAAGAAUGAAAUUUUAUUGAGGAAGUGGAAGCAUAUAUUUCACUAAUUUCCAAACAUGGAGACGGGAUUACAAGUGAUUAAGCAAGCACAACAACAGGACAACAAAUGCAUCCUAAUAAAAAAAAAGUUUCUA